rnacentral:rRNA from 1 species
GACGAACCGUGCAAACGUUGUUCGGAUUCACUGGGCUUAAAGGGCACGUAGGCGGUGAAUCGGGUUGAAAGUGAAAGUCGCCAAAAAGUGGCGGAAUGCUCUCGAAACCAAUUCACUUGAGUGAGACAGAGGAGAGUGGAAUUUCGUGUGUAGGGGUGAAAUCCGUAAAUAUACGAAGGAACGCCAAAAGCGAAGGCAGCUCUCUGGGUCCCUACCGACGCUGGGGUGCGAAAGCAUGGGGAGCGAACAGG